rnacentral:ncRNA from 1 species
CAUACCCGGCCGUCGCCGGCAGUGCGAGGCCCGCGGGGGCUAGGCCGCGACGAGUAGGAGGGCCGCUGCGGUGAGCCUCGAAGCCUGGGGCGUGGGCCCGGGUGGAGCCGCCGCAGGUGCAGAUCUUGGUGGUAGUAGCAAAUAUUCAAACGAGAGCUUUGAAGGUGUCACCGUUUGACUCGGGUUUGACAAUGCUCUCGAUCCCCUCCCCCUCCCACC